rnacentral:rRNA from 1 species
GAUGAACGCUGACAGAAUGCUUAACACAUGCAAGUCUUUCGCGAAGCUGUUCCCGCACAGCCUAGCCAAGGCGGACGGGUGAGGAACGCGUCAGGAAUUUGCCCUGCAGUCAGGGAUAACAGACGCAAACGACUGAUAAGACUUGGUAAAGUCAGCCGGACCCAUGUCCAGCCUGAUGAAAAGAGAUGCUGCAGGAGAGCCUUGCGUCCUAUUAGCUUGUUGGUGGUGUAGCGGCGCCACAGGGCGGUGGUGGGUAGUCGGCCUGAGAGGGUGGAGGGCCACAAGGGGUGUGAGACACGGCACUUACUCCUACGGGAGAGAGGAGUGGAGAAUAUUGGACAAGGGGGGCAACCCUGAUCGAGCCAUUCUGUGUGCACGAUGAAGGUUUUCGGAUUGUAAAGUGCUUUCAGGAGGGAAGAAAAAAAUGACGGUACCUGCAGAAGAAGCAACGGCUAAAUACGUG